CCCAGGAGGAUGCAAGAGCUGGUGAAAACCCUCCCCCAGAGGAUUUGUUGAAGGACAGAGCAGAGGAGGAAGCUUCACCCAUCUCUAAGGUGGUCUCAGUAGAAAGUGAAAACG